AGGAAGUUGACGGGGGCCCGCACAAGCGGUGGAGCAUGUGGUUUAAUUCGAUGAUACGCGAGGAACCUUACCUGGGCUCAAAUGUAUGUUGACGUAUUCUGAAAGGGAUACUUCUUCGGACAAUAUACAAGGUGCUGCAUGGUUGUCGUCAGCUCGUGCCGUGAGGUGUCGGGUCAAGUCCCAUAACGAGCGCAACCCCUAUCAUUAGUUGCCAUCAGGUCAAGCUGGGGACUCUAAUGAAACUGCCUACGCAAGUAGUGAGGAAGGUGGGGAUGACGUCAAAUCAGCACGGCCCUUACGUCCAGGGCGACACACGUGCUACAAUGGCCGGCACAACGGGAAGCGAGUUCGCGAGGACAAGCGGAUCCCUCAAAGCCGGUCGCAGUUCGGAUUGAAGUCUGCAACUCGACUUCAUGAAGCUGGAAUCGCUAGUAAUCGUGGAUCAGCCAAGCCGCGGUGAAUACGUUCCCGGGCCUU
rnacentral:rRNA from 1 species